rnacentral:rRNA from 1 species
CUGAAGGAAGAGAAAGAAAUUCGAUUCCGUAAGUAGCGGCGAGCGAACGCGGAUUAGCCCAAACCAAUAAAGUUUUCUUUAUUGGGGUUGAGGACAUACCACAUAUAAGAGGUCAUUAUAGACGAAGAAGUUUGGAAAAACUCAUCAUAGAAGGUAAUAAUCCUGUAGUCAAAAUAAUAAUUCUUUAGGUAUGAUCCAGAGUACCACGGGACACGUGAAACCCUGUGGGAAGCAGGAGGGACCACCCUCCAAGGCUAAAUACUACCUAGUGACCGAUAG